rnacentral:rRNA from 1 species
GACGAACGCUGGCGGCGUGCUUAACACAUGCAAGUCGAACGGUGAAGCGCCUUCCUUUUUGGUGGGUGUGGAUGAGUGGCGAACGGGUGAGUAACACGUGAGUAACCUGCCCCCUUCUUCUGGAUAACCGCAUGAAAGUGUGGCUAAUACGGGAUAUUCUGGGUCUGUCGCAUGAUGGGUCUGGGAAAGAUAUUGUUUCGGUGGGGGAUGGGCUCGCGGCCUAUCAGCUUGUUGGUGGGGUGAUGGCCUACCAAGGCGGUGACGGGUAGCCGGCCUGAGAGGGUGGACGGUCACACUGGGACUGUGACACGGCCCAGACUCCUACGGGAGGCAGCAGUGGGGAAUAUUGCACAAUGGGCGCAAGCCUGAUGCAGCGACGCCGCGUGAGGGAUGGAGGCCUUCGGGUUGUGAACCUCUUUCGCCAGUGAAGCAGGCCUGCCUCGUUUGUGGGUGGGUUGACGGUAGCUGGAUAAGAAGCGCCGGCUAACUACGUG